UACGUAGGGAGCGAGCGUUGUCCGGAUUCAUUGGGCGUAAAGCGCGCGUAGGCGGCCUCGCAAGUCGGUUGUGAAAUCCCGGGGCUCAACCCCGGGACUGCGUCCGAUACUGCGAGGCUGGAGGUAGGUAGGGGAGAUCGGAAUUCCUGGUGUAGCGGUGAAAUGCGUAGAGAUCAUGAGGAAGACCAGUGGCGAAGGCGGGUCUCUGGACAGUUCCUGACACUGAGGCACGAAGGCCAGGGGAGCAAACGGG
rnacentral:rRNA from 1 species